rnacentral:rRNA from 1 species
CACGAAGUUAGCCGGGGCUUCUUCUCCGACUACCGUCAUUAUCUUCAUCGGCGAAAGUGCUUUACAACCCUAAGGCCUUCAUCACACACGCGGCAUGGCUGGAUCAGGCUUCCGCCCAUUGUCCAAUAUUCCCCACUGCUGCCUCCCGUAGGAGUCUGGGCCGUGUCUCAGUCCCAGUGUGGCUGGUCAUCCUCUCAGACCAGCUAAGGAUCGUCGCCUUGGUGAGCCAUUACCUCACCAACUAGCUAAUCCUACGCGGGCCCAUCUCAAGGCGAUAAAUCUUUCCCCCUGAGGGCUCAUACGGUAUUAGCCAAAGUUUCCCUUGGUUGUUCCGUACCUCGAGGUAGGUUCCCACGCGUUACUCACCCGUCUGCCACUCCCCUUGCGGGGCGUUCGACCUUGCAUGUGUUAGGCCUGCCGCCAGCGUCGUUCUGUAGCCACGGAGUCAACUAC